GCGCCGCCGCCCUCUUGUUCGUCUUCGGUGCGGUCGCGGCCUCCAGUGCCCAGCGCCACCGCCGCUCCACCACCGCCGCUCCAUCUUCUAUCCCGCCGGCGGCCUCCAGCCCUGCGCCAUCCCCAUUUGUGCGGCCUCUACCGUCCCUACCCCCGCACAGUUCGUGCAACCGACUCCCCCCUCUUCAGUCCCCACGUCGUCCACUACUGCAUGCUUCCUCCCCACGACCUCCACUUCCUCAGACACCUUAUAGAGCUCGAUGAAGAUAAACCGGGAGCAUGUGUGGACUCUAUCUCGUCCGAGCACGCGUUUUCACCAGAGUCGGGUUCCUGUACCACGCCGCCGCGCCGGGCCUCUACAGUGUUCGAGCGCGCCUGCAGUGGACCGAGGGGGCGCUCAGCAGAGGCGAGGAGGGGCUUGCUCGGCCGACAACUGGGACUGCGCAGGCUACAAGGGGAGUAGUGAAGAUCGACGGCGAGUUGCUCCACGACCGAUCUCUCCCGCUUGAGGAGUAAGUUGCUCUUGCGGUAGUUCCCCCAACUGUCACCAUGCAGUACGAGGAGGGUAAGACUGUGGACCUCUAUGUCCCCAGGAAGUGAGUUAAUCCCAAGCAGUGCAGACUCUCAAGCAUCAGUGUUGCCUUUUUCUUCUUGUGCCCACAAGGAAAUUCGGAAUUGUGUUCGCCUCAAUUUCUGUACCCAUCUUUGCAGCUCUGUAUUGUCCAACAAAACUUUGAUCAAUGGCGGGAUCAGGUAGAAUAAACCAAAAUAGGACAGUUCCAGACAUUCAUCCCUUUCCUCCGUAAGUAUAUAGUUCACUUGUCACAUUUAUAUAUGAAUGAAGAACUUAAGCUACAGUUUGUGUUUUAUAUAGUUUCGUGUUAUUUGAUGAUAUUCAAGAUUUCAAUAACUUACCACACGUAAAGAGUAUCUUUUCGAGGGUAGUUGUUAAGUUCCCUAGGCGUCAUGAUAGUCAACACUUCAUCCUACAGGAUAUCACAGGAUCCAAAAUGGAAGCAAUUUCAAGUCGCAAUAAUGUUCCACGUUUCGAUGCCUUACUCACACAAGGAUGCACAUAUACAUUGUAUAGAGUGGGAUUCUGUCUAAAUAGGGAGGGGAUUCAAUUUCGGAAUAUUGGACAUGGGCUAGAGAUCGGACUGAUAACACAUACUAUUGUGGAGCCAUUCAUUAAGCCAAUCCAAUUUCCUCCAUUUCCAAAGUAUCUUAUGCCAUUCCAUAAGGUGUAUCAACAACCGCAUAAGUCGUUCGUAGACAUUAUUGGCAUAGUUCUUCAUUUAGAGCCAUUAAAGCAUAUCGGUGGAAGGCCUUAUAGAGAGGCUGUACUAAUGGAUUCCAGGUGGGAUCUAAUCGUCGUGGGGGUAUGGACUGACCUCUUGCAAAGAAAUGCUCUACGAUGGUCGUUAGCUAGAGUUGACAAUAACAUAAUUAUUGGAACUAUGCUGCGUCGUAACAAUAAACACAGAUGCUUGGAAACCUCGGAUUACAACACCGUUCAUUUCAACCCAGAUCAUCACACUACAUACCACUUGAAGACUAUUCGACGUUCGUUGAUUCAAAAUCCAAGGCGUCGUAUCGUCGACAAAUUUCUUGAGAACAGACGGGCACAUCUCACAACUGUGAUAUCUGAUUGAGACGUAUUCUAGCUUGUUAUAGUAGAUACUUUGUUAGUUAUGAUUUAGAUGAAACUUAGUAGUAAUGAUUUGUUCUCUAUUUUGUAUUAGUCGUGUGUUCGGUCUCAAUGGUGAUCACUUUGUAUAAAACUAUGUGGCCUUUCUAUGAGCUAAUAAAUAAGUUCACCAUCA